rnacentral:tRNA from 2 species
GGCCUCGUGGCGGAAUGGCUACGCAAGGGAUUGCAACUCCCUUUAUCCUGGUUCGACUCCAGGCGAGGCCUCCA